CAAAAUGACAGGUGUCAAGUCCUAGGUGGACCACAGUAGUUAGUUACUUAUACGGCGUCGUUCCAAUGUUACUUCAUCCAAAAUUUCCCACACGCCUAGCAAACCAACCAUAUACGGAGGGAAGAAUGCAUGCAGCCGGUGGUCCUCCGGUUACGGUUUCUGCGUCGAAUUGGCCAGCGCCACGUGUCGGCCGGAGAUAUUUGACUAUUGGAUGUUGGACUUCAUUAACCAGUAACAGUGAAAACCACCAUUACAGCAGAAGGUCUCAACAGUACUGGGAUAAGUUCUACAAGCUCCACAAUAACAAGUUUUUCAAGGACCGGCACUACUUGGAGAAGGAUUGGAGAAGCUAUUUUGAUGAUGAAAUCGAAUCUUCCAAUGGGAAGGUUGUGUUAGAGGUUGGUUGUGGAGCGGGGAAUACGAUUUUUCCUCUCGUCACUACGUUUCCGAAGCUAUAUAUUCACGCCUGUGAUUUCUCACCUAAAGCAAUAACACUCGUUAAGUCACAUGAAAAUUACAGUGCCAAAAAGAUGAAUGUCUUUGUCUGUGAUGCCGCAAAGGAUGAUCUCUGUGAUAAUGUCACGCCUUUUACUGUUGAUGUAGUAACCUUGAUUUUUACCUUGUCUGCAGUUUCUCCAUCUAAGAUGGCUUCAAUUCUGGAGAACUGUAAACAAGUACUAAAGCCAAAUGGUCACAUUCUUUUACGAGAUUACGCAAUUGGAGAUUCUGCUCAGAGCAUGAAACGCAUAAGACAAGACAUGUCAUCAGCUCUGCUGGUCAGGGUUAGAAGUGGAAAGGAAUUGCAGUUGGGGGAAAUGGGGUUUCGCUUGUUAAGAAAAGACCAAUUUCUUUUCCUAGGGGGCUAAAAGAGAGGAAAUGGUUGUGUAUAGUCAAACAUCUUUUAAACUGUUGAAGGCUGAAGAUUACGUAUUUCUUUGCUGUUCUUGCAAUAGCUCAGUAGACAAAAUGGAGAAAACACGUGAUCUUAUUAAGAAAGUGUUUGCUCAGUGCUCACUGCCUUCCUUGAACAGGAAGAUACUGCUGCAUACUAAGUACUUACUUAUUUUCAGUUGGCAAAGAACAUAAAUCCUUCUCUUUGCUCUCCUAUUGUUGAAAUAACUGUGUUAUUUGAUACUCGGUAUACCCAGAUUUUUUUCAGAUACCUCUGCCAAAAUGGAAGUACUUGGGGUGAACCUUGGUGUUCCUGGCCUUGAUGCAGACACCAAAUACUAUCAUGUAGCUAAAAUUUCAAUUUCACGUUAAUUAUCAUCUUUUUGAUUAGUGGUAUAACUGUUCUUUAAGGGCCCUUUGUUGAUCGGAAAAAUGAAGUUCUUUAGCUAAAGAGUAAUCUGGAGUUGAUUUCUCAGAUGGUCGCUCAACUAAUAAGUAGUUAUUAUCUUAGAAAAUCACUUUCUUUGUUGAAAAAAAUGGGAAUCAAGAAGAAAGGUGACUUUCGGAGAUAAUAACUACUAGUUGAGUGACCAUGUAAAAAAAUCAACUUGAGAAAUCUGACUGAAGAGCAUUCUGUAUGGGCUGUUUCCAUUCUAAAAAUGAAACAUCUUUCACAUAAAUAUCAUUCAUGUCGAACAUUUUAAUCUUGGCUUGAACCAUUUUUCUGUUACAAGUGAUUCACUUGAUAGAAGUCUGGAACUGAAAGCUGUUUUUUUGGCAUGGAAUUUACACAACAAAUGUUUCAGGUGAAACUGCAUGAUAGAAACCAGAUGAUUAGUGAGAAUUUUUAUUUCCGAGGUGAUGGAACUUGUUCGUUUUACUUUUCUGAGGCUUACGCAUCGACCUUGUUUGGAAGAGCUGGUUUUGCAAUUGUGGACAUUAACACAUACUGCAA